GAUUCGUCACACUAUCAUUAACUGAAUCCAUAGGUUAAUGAGGCGAACCGGGGGAACUGAAACAUCUAAGUACCCCGAGGAAAAGAAAUCAACCGAGAUUCCCCCAGUAGCGGCGAGCGAACGGGGAGGAGCCCAGAGCCUGAAUCAGCAUGUGUGUUAGUGGAAGCGUCUGGAAAGGCGCGCGAUACAGGGUGACAGCCCCGUACACAAAAGCGCAUGUGCUGUGAGCUCGAUGAGUAGGGCGGGACACGUGGUAUCCUGUCUGAAUAUGGGGGGACCAUCCUCCAAGGCUAAAUACUCCUGACUGACCGAUAGUGAACCAGUACCGUGAGGGAAAGGCGAAAAGAACCCCGGCGAGGGGAGUGAAAAAGAACCUGAAACCGUGUACGUACAAGCAGUGGGAGCACCCUUCGGGGUGUGACUGCGUACCUUUUGUAUAAUGGGUCAGCGACUUAUAUUCUGUAGCAAGGUUAACCGUAUAGGGGAGCCGGAGGGAAACCGAGUCUUAAUUGGGCGUUAAGUUGCAGGGUAUAGACCCGAAACCCGGUGAUCUAGCCAUGGGCAGGUUGAAGGUUGGGUAACACUAACUGGAGGACCGAACCGACUAAUGUUGAAAAAUUAGCGGAUGACCUGUGGCUGGGGGUGAAAGGCCAAUCAAACCGGGAGAUAGCUGGUUCUCCCCGAAAGCUAUUUAGGUAGCGCCUCGUGAAUUCAUCUCCGGGGGUAGAGCACUGUUUCGGCUAGGGGGCCAUCCCGGCUUACCAACCCGAUGCAAACUGCGAAUACCGGAGAAUGUUAUCACGGGAGACACACGGCGGGUGCUAACGUCCGUCGUGAAGAGGGAAACAACCCAGACCGCCAGCUAAGGUCCCAAAGUCAUGGUUAAGUGGGAAACGAUGUGGGAAGGCCCAGACAGCCAGGAUGUUGGCUUAGAAGCAGCCAUCAUUUAAAGAAAGCGUAAUAGCUCACUGGUCGAGUCGGCCUGCGCGGAAGAUGUAACGGGGCUAAACCAUGCACCGAAGCUGCGGCAGCGAACGUAUCACCCAAGACAACUUUACGGAGUUGACGAUUGACGGAGCGAAGCGACGUCAAAGCGUUCAUUAAAGUCGAGUUGGCUUAGGGAUACGUUCGUUGGGUAGGGGAGCGUUCUGUAAGCCUGUGAAGGUGUGUCGUGAGGCAUGCUGGAGGUAUCAGAAGUGCGAAUGCUGACAUAAGUAACGAUAAAGCGGGUGAAAAGCCCGCUCGCCGGAAGACCAAGGGUUCCUGUCCAACGUUAAUCGGGGCAGGGUGAGUCGACCCCUAAGGCGAGGCCGAAAGGCGUAGUCGAUGGGAAACGGGUUAAUAUUCCCGUACUUGGUGUUACUGCGAAGGGGGGACGGAGAAGGCUAUGUUGGCCGGGCGACGGUUGUCCCGGUUUAAGCGUGUAGGUGUGUGUUCCAGGUAAAUCCGGUUCACUUUAACACUGAGGCGUGACGACGAGGCA
rnacentral:rRNA from 1 species